rnacentral:rRNA from 1 species
AAUCAACGCUGGCGGCGUGCCUAACACAUGCAAGUCGAACGCGAAAGCCCUUUCGGGGGUAAGUAGAGUGGCGUCCGGGUGAGUAACACGUAGGUAAUCUACCUUCGGGUGGGGAAUAACUCGCCGAAAGGCGAGCUAAUACCGCAUAAUGCAGCGGCACCUAAUGGUGAUUAGUUGUUAAAGCGGGGGAGUCGUAAGACCUCGCGCCUGAAGAGGAGCCUGCGGCAGAUUAGCUAGNGGUGAGGUAAUGGCUCACCAAGGCUUCGAUCUGUAGCUGGUCUGAGAGGACGGCCAGCCACACUGGCACUGACACACGGGCCAGACUCCUACGGGAGGCAGCAGUGGGGAA